CCCCGCCGCCAUGUUGGGUCUGUGAGGGGAGGACCCCCUCCCCCCGCCUCGGCGGUCGCGUCUUGAGGGGAGCCGUGGCCGAAGCCGCCAGAGGCGUCUUGCGGGGCAGGGAGGCGGGUGCCUCCCGCCACCCCUGUGAGGGAAGGGCCGCCGAGCCCCGCCGGAGCCGCUCCCGCACGCCCCGCGCAGCAGGGGGCCCGCCGGCACGGUCCAUCGCUCCGUGAAGCGCAGGGCGGCCGUCGUUUUGGGGACGGCCUCGAGUCUUGGCAGCUAAGGGAGAAGCCCCAUGAGGCCGAGGUAGUUACAAGAGAAGGCAGGAUUUUUCCGCUCUCACUGCAAUUUCUGUGCUUACAGAUACGUGUGGUUGAAAGGCAUCAAAAUUUUAGAAAAGGCUGGAAGAUGAGACAACUGAAGGCUGGCACAGAAAAGCCCGAAUCUCUGUGUGCUGCC